CACACUCUCUGUGCGUGGGUUCUGGACGAUCGAAGAGAAGAAAAGGGUUGAAACCCUAGCAUCAAGAAAUCCAGCAAUUUAGCUUGAAUCAAAGGAAAAAUUCGAUGCAUGAUGCCCUAAACUCGAGUAGCUAACCUCAAUUUCUAAGGUGGCACGAAGAAGGAAGAAGGCGCAAGUCACUCGAAGGCAUAAGUAUCUCAAGAUCGCGGUAAAACUCCACUCUAGGCGACUUGGAGAUUUGGAGCGAGCACGGGCCCAUGCUAUGUUAUACCAAAUGCUUCCGCUAGUUUUUGUUCGUCUUUAUGGUCCAUGACUUGUUAUUUUGUCCAACUUUGUUAGUAGUCGUAUUUUGCAAAAACUUGUUGUCCUUGUCUUGGGUAGUUUAAUGUCAAAAAGGGUCAUGGAUUGUUGUUAGUGUUAUGUGUUAAAAACAGGGAGGCAUGUCCGUUUUACGAACGGGUCAUGCCCAAUUUUCCUAAGAAUUUUAUUAUGUAUCAAAGCUUGGUAAUUUGAUGUCUAUAAAUUACUUUUGUAA